GCUGGACAAGAAAGCAAGACUCUGUCUUUGCAAUAACAAAGGCUUUGUUAUGGAACAUUGCAAAUAUAUACCAGAGUGUCUAGUGAAGAAUUAGACAGUGAAUCCUAGCUGUGACCAUUACAAAACUCAUGGCAGGUCUUGCUCUUCCUAUAAACGACCCUCUUGCUUCAUCCAACCCUGUACUGGAUUUUUUUGAAGCAAAUUCCAGACACCAUCCUACUUUAUUUGUAAGCACUUCGUUAUGCAUCCCUAAAGAAUAAACACUGAAAACAUAACCAAGUCCAUGUGGUAAUCCCUUGAUCGCAUCAAAUACCUGGUCAACGUGCAGACGUCGCUACUGUUCUAGAAUCCAUGUGGCUUGUUUGAAUCGAGAUGCAAACAAUGCCUACACUUGCAUUUGGUUAAGUUUCUUUCUUUUCUUGAUUAAGUUCCCUUUAGAUUUCUGUUGCUUUUCUUUUCCUUGCAGUUAAUUUCGUUGAAGACUUUUUAAAUAUGCCAGAACUGCCUGGCUGGUGUCAUUCCACGUGUUCCUCUAACCCUUUUCUUUCUUGUAAACUAAUAUUCAGGUACAGAUAUUGCCCUGCAUUUUUUAAAGUCCAGCACAAGGUCUGCAAAUGGAAAUAGGGGAUAACUGGAACCUGCCCUGUGGGUGACUCAGCUUUGCGUGUGACGCCCUUGCCCUCUGUCUCCCCUCCCCCUACAAAGACUUUUUUGGCUGUGUAUGGUGGCUCAGGUUACGGACACUCCUGGGCUUGUGGAGAAACAGAACGGUGUUCUGAUGACCUCCACCCCUCCCAGGGGGAGGUUCUAAUCGUGCCUGGCUUUGGGGGCUGUGUCAUGACCUCCCACCUUCUGUCUCCUGUGUGCUCUGCUCUGCCAAGCUGCUGAGCCUUUGCAGUUCAGGAUCCGCACUCAGGAAAGUCCCUCCUGGAAGGUGACCGCCGGCCAUGGGGCGGGACUGUGGUCUUGUAUUCUGAAGUCCCGUAGUCGGGCCUAGGGUGGGCAGGUAUGAAGGUGUGGUGCUGUCGUGUUUGUGGUGGCAGGUGAAGUGUCUCGUGCCUGUCUCUUCCAGCCUAGGGGGCAGUAUGAGCUCUUCGCUGUGGUUGCGCACGUGGGAAUGGCGGACUCUGGUCAUUACUGUGCCUACAUCCGGAAUGCUGUGGACGGAAAAUGGUUCUGCUUCAAUGACUCCAAUAUUUGCUCAUUGUCCUGGGAAGACAUCCAGUGUACCUACGGAAAUCCUAACUACCACUGGCAGGAAACUGCGUAUCUUCUGGUUUACAUGAAGGCGGAAUGCUAAUGGAUAUGCCCAAAACCUUCAGAGAUGGACACACUGUCACUUUCCACUUCCGUCCUGGAUCUAUGGAGCCUUCUAAGAGGCUUUGAAAUGAGGAGAAGAAUCGUUUUCCAACUAUAUAAUUGAGGCUUAUUUAUAAUCAGGGAUAUUAUCAAAAUAUUUAACACGGAAACCCUGUAGGCCCUGAUCAGUCAGGAUGGACGCUUUCACCAGCAGACCCGACCAUGUGGCUGCUGGGUCUUGGGUGCUCCCUGCUGUGGUCAGCCCUUUAGUUAGGAGCUGUGGGAGGUCCGGGUGCUCCAGGGAGGAGAGCAGUGGCAGUGGGGGGCAUCUGGAUACUAAGGGUCAGUGGCAGUGGGUAUUUCAGUAUUUCACAACUGCUAUGCCCAGACUUGUGUGUACCGGCUGAAUAUCAGUGCUGUUUGUAAUUUCUCAGUUUUAGAACCAGUAUUAAUCCAUAUAAAUCAAGCAUUUUGUAACUGUUAUUCUUUUAUUCAGCAAACAUUUAUUGACAAUCUGUCCUCCAUAAGACAGUGUGAUAGCACAAUAAUGAAUAAAGUUCUUUUCCACAAA